rnacentral:rRNA from 1 species
CAUUAAAGAAAUUUAAUAAUUUUGAAAAUGGAUUUUUUUUGUUUUGGCAAGAGCAUGAGAGCUUUUACUGGGCAAGAAGACAAGAGAUGGAGAGUCCAGCCGGGCCUGCGCUUAAGUGCGCGGUCUUGCUAGGCUUGUAAGUUUCUUUCUUGCUAUUCCAAACGGUGAGAGAUUUCUGUGCUUUUGUUAUAGGACAAUUAAAACCGUUUCAAUACAACACACUGUGGAGUUUUCAUAUCUUUGCAACUUUUUCUUUGGGCAUUCGAGCAAUCGGGGCCCAGAGGUUAACAAACACAAACAAUUUUAUUUAUUCAUUAAAUUUUUGUCAAAAACAAGAAUUUUCGUAACUGGAAAUUUUAAAAUAUUAAAAACUUUCAACAACGGAUCUCUUGGUUCUCGCAUCGAUGAAGAACGCAGCGAAAUGCGAUACGUAAUGUGAAUUGCAGAAUUCCGUGAAUCAUCGAAUCUUUGAACGCACAUUGCGCCCCUUGGUAUUCCAGGGGGCAUGCCUGUUUGAGCGUCAUUUGGUUCUCAAACAUUCUGUUUGGUAGUGAGUGAUACUCUUUGGAGUUAACUUGAAAUUGCUGGCCUUUUCAUUGGAUGUUUUUUUUUUCCAAAGAGAGGUUUCUCUGCGUGCUUGAGGUAUAAUGCAAGUACGGUCGUUUUAGGUUUUACCAACUGCGGCUAAUCUUUAAAAUACUGAGCGUAUUGGAACGUUAUCGAUAAGAAGAGAGCGUCUAGGCGAACAAUGUUCUUAAAGUUUGACCUCAAAUCAGGUAGCGGUACCCGCUGAACUUAAGCAUAUC